UACGUAGGGUGCAAGCGUUGUCCGGAAUUAUUGGGCGUAAAGAGCUCGUAGGCGGUCUGUUGCGUCGGCUGUGAAAACCCGGGGCUCAACCCCGGGCCUGCAGCCGAUACGGGCAGACUAGAGUUCGGCAGGGGAGACUGGAAUUCCUGGUGUAGCGGUGGAAUGCGCAGAUAUCAGGAGGAACACCGAUGGCGAAGGCAGGUCUCUGGGCCACUACUGACGCUGAGAAGCGAAAGCAUGGGGAGCGAACAGG
rnacentral:rRNA from 1 species